AUUGAACGCUGGCGGCAUGCCUUACACAUGCAAGUCGAACGGCAGCACGGGUGCUUGCACCUGGUGGCGAGUGGCGAACGGGUGAGUAAUACAUCGGAACAUGUCCUGUAGUGGGGGAUAGCCCGGCGAAAGCCGGAUUAAUACCGCAUACGAUCCACGGAUGAAAGCGGGGGACCUUCGGGCCUCGCGCUAUAGGGUUGGCCGAUGGCUGAUUAGCUAGUUGGUGGGGUAAAGGCCUACCAAGGCGACGAUCAGUAGCUGGUCUGAGAGGACGACCAGCCACACUGGGACUGAGACACGGCCCAGACGCCUACGGGAGGCAGCAGUGGGGAAUUUGGGACAAUGGGCGAAAGCCUGAUCCAGCAAUGCCGCGUGUGUGAAGAAGGACUUCGGGUUGUAAAGCACUUUUGUCCGGAAAGAAAUCCUUGACUCUAAUACAGUCGGGGGAUGACGGUACCGGAAGAAUAAGCACCGGCUAACUACGUG
rnacentral:rRNA from 1 species